rnacentral:rRNA from 1 species
AUGCAGAGACAGAACAGUGAGGGUCGCACACAGGAGGUGAUCCUCUGGUAGUCCACACCGUUAACGAUGAACACUAGGAGUUAGGAGGUUUCCGCCUCUUAGUGCCGAAGCUAACGCACUAAGUGUUCCCCCUGGGGAGUACGACCGCAAGGUUGAAACUCAAAGGAAUUGACGGGGAACCCGCACAAGCGGUGGAGCAUGUGGUUUAAUUCGAAGCAACGCGAAGAAACCCUUUCCAGGUCCUUGACAUCCUUUGAAGCUUUUAGAGAUAGAAGUGUUCUCUUCGGAGGCCAAAGUGACAGGUGGUGCAUGGUCGUCGUCAGCUCGUGUCGUGAGAUGUUGGGUUUAAGUCCCGCAACGAGCGCAACCCUUAUGUUUAGUUUCCAGCAUUCAGAUGGGCACUCUUGCGGGGACUUCCGGGGACAAAACCGGAGGAAAGGCGGGGGCGGCGUCAGAUCAACAUGCCCCUUAUGGUCUUGGCUUCGCCCGUGCUACAAUGGCGUAUACAACGAGUUGCCAACCCGCGAGGGUGAGCUAAUCUCUUAAAGUACGUCUCAGUUCGGAUUGUAGUCUGCAACUCGACUACAUGAAGUCGGAAUCGCUAGUAAUCGCGGAUCAGCACGCCGCGGUGAAUACGUUCCCGGGUCUUGUACACACCGCCCGUCACACCAUGGGAGUUUGUAAUGCCCAAAGCCGGUACCUAACCUCUAGGAAGGAGCCUUGUU